GCCCGAAUAGCGUAAUGGAUAACGCGUCAGACUCCUAAUCUGAAGAUUCCGGGUUCGAGUCCCGGUUUGGGUG